rnacentral:pre_miRNA from 1 species
UGUUUAAAAUUUCAUCCAUUUUUGCAGUUAAUAAUUGGCGUGUAAGAUGGAUUAACCAAAUAGUGACAUGUGACGUGCCACAUGUACAUCAUGCUGACAUAAAAGAUCAGUUUUUAACCGUAGUAAUAGAUGAGAUUUUUAAUA